rnacentral:lncRNA from 1 species
CGCUCUCCGCGCGCCCGGACGCCGGCGUGUGCGUCCCCUCAGCUUCCCGGGCGGAAGGUUCUUCGGGGAGCGCUCUCCAGCUGCCUCCCGCUCAGCCGGAAGCGCAGCCCUCUGCACGCCGCCACUUGCCGAGACCCCUGUGUUGGGCGCGGGCCGCCGCCGGCUUUCCGCGCUGGGGAAGCCGGGUGCCCUGGGUGGUGGGCCCUAGCGCGUGCUCCUGAGGCCCCGGGGCUUCCCACACGCCGCGCCAGCUGUCUGGGCCCCCGCGCCGCCCCAAACUUGACGCGCGCCGCCGGCAGUCUCGACCGCACCGUCCUCCCGCACCCCCAAGUUAACCUGCCCCGGGGCGGCUGCCACACCCCGGCAGCCGAAGCUCGGCGCUGGGGUCGGCGCCACGGCCGGGGACAGUCGGGUCCCAGUUGUGGGAGGAGGGGCGCUGGUGUGUACGUGGAGCGGCCCCGGCGACUCACUUUCUACCU